rnacentral:rRNA from 1 species
UACGUAGGGCGCAAGCGUUGUCCGGAAUUAUUGGGCGUAAAGAGCUUGUAGGCGGCUUGUCGCGUCUGCUGUGAAAACCCGGGGCUUAACCCCGGGCUUGCAGUGGGUACGGGCAGGCUAGAGUGUGGUAGGGGAGACUGGAAUUCCUGGUGUAGCGGUGGAAUGCGCAGAUAUCAGGAGGAACACCGAUGGCGAAGGCAGGUCUCUGGGCCAUUACUGACGCUGAGAAGCGAAAGCGUGGGGAGCGAACAGG